CCCGGCCCUGCCCUCACGGGCGGAGCGCCCGCCGGAGGAUACCAAACUCUAUUUUAACGACGUUUCUUCUGAGUGGCACAAGCAAAUAAUUAAAACUUUCAACAACGGAUCUCUUGGUUCUGGCAUCGAUGAAGAACGCAGCGAAAUGCGAUAAGUAAUGUGAAUUGCAGAAUUCAGUGAAUCAUCGAAUCUUUGAACGCACAUUGCGCCCGCCAGCAUUCUGGCGGGCAUGCCUGUUCGAGCGUCAUUUCAACCCUCAAGCUCUGCUUGGUGUUGGGGCCCUACGGUUGACGUAGGCCCUUAAAGGUAGUGGCGGACCCUCUCGGAGCCUCCUUUGCGUAGUAACUAACGUCUCGCACUGGGAUUCGGAGGGACUCUUGCCGUAAAACCCCCAAAUUUUUAAAGGUUGACCUCGGAUCAGGUAGGAAUACCCGCUGAACUUAAGCAUAUCAAUAGCCGGGAGGAA
rnacentral:rRNA from 1 species